AAGGUUUCCGUAGGUGAACCUGCGGAAGGAUCAUUAUCGAAUAAACUUGUGUGGGUUGUGCUGACCCUCUCGGGGGUAUGUGCACGCCUGCCAUUGUUUCAUUCAUCCCUUCCACCUGUGCACUUUCUGUAGACCCCAUGCCGUCGCCUUUCAGGUGCCACGCUGUGGCCCUUGGUUUGAGGACGUGCUCUGCUGUCCUUGGGUGGUGUGUGGUCUAUGUCUUUAUCAACACCAUUGUAUGUCAUCGAAUGUUUGUUGGGUUCUCCACACAGACCCAUAAAAAUCCAUACAACUUUCAACAACGGAUCUCUUGGCUCUCGCAUCGAUGAAGAACGCAGCGAAAUGCGAUAAGUAAUGUGAAUUGCAGAAUUCAGUGAAUCAUCGAAUCUUUGAACGCACCUUGCGCUCCUUGGCAUUCCGAGGAGCAUGCCUGUUUGAGUGUCAUUAAAUUCUCAACCCCAUUCCCCUUGUUGGGGGACUUGGGUUUGGAUGUGGGAGCUGCUGGCUUUGCGGUCAGCUCUCCUGAAAGACAUUAGCAGGGUAUCUAUAUACACGACCGUAGCUUCGGUAUUGAUGGUUGUCAUACCAGGCGGUGGUUGAGUGAUUGCCCAGCUUACAGUCGUCUCUCGUUGAGACAAUUGACUUGACAAUUUGACCUCAAAUCAGGUAGGACUACCCGCUGAACUUAAGCAUA
rnacentral:rRNA from 1 species